rnacentral:tRNA from 1 species
GAGGGUAUAGCUCAGUGGUAGAGCAUGUGCUUAGCAUGCACAAGGUCCUGGGUUCAAUCCCCAGAACCUCCA